AAAAAAAAAAUGGAAGUUAAAAUAUGAGGGGGUCGGGGAAGGGCGGAAUGGGAACUCAGAUGGGAAUUGUGUGGAAAAUCAAAUGGACACAAUUACACAAAUUCACCCUCAAAAACUAGAUAUAUAUAAACUGAAUGAAUGCAUAUAAAACUUCACCGCUGAACUGAAGAAGCUCUUAGCUUCGGUUAACAAUGGCAGUCCUAAACUAUAUAUCAUUGAGAGUAACUACAACAACAGCAGCAAUCUCUCAAGAAAAGCCCAAACCAAACACAAGGCAGACCAAAGUCAUCUUGCCCAAGAAGAAGCCACUUAAAUGGUCAACAGAUGUGGCUCCAGGGGAGUAUGGUGGCCCACCCACAACCUCCAAGCGUCGCAAGUACUGGGUUGGCGAAGAGGACGACCCUUUAACUUCUGAUGACUUCAUUUGGAACAGAGAUUUCGUUGGUAGAAUGAAGAAGCUCAUUCAGGACCCUGCUGCUGUUGAUGACCCUUCUCUUCAAUCCUCUCCUGAAGAGCCUUCUGGAUUUUUAAACUUGAAUCGAGUUAUGAGCCUUGACAGUCUGGAAGUCGAUCUGAGCAAGGAACUUACAGCACCUUCAAAGCCUGUGUUACAACAGGCAGUUGAAUCCGCAACUCAUCAGAGCAGUGGCAGCAUGUCACCCAAAUGGAAAUUGGUAUCAACGCGGCGUGAACAAGAAAAGUGGGAUAAAGCAACAAAGGCUGCAACUGGUGGCAGUGAUGUGAUGUUGCGGGAACUGCAGCGGCCUCAAGGAGACCCCGAACUAUUGGCUGUUCAAUCAAGGGAGCAGUACUUUAAGUUGAAAAAGAAGUUGCAAGUUCUCACCUUGGUUAUAGGCAGUGUUGGUUUAGUCUCAGCUUAUGUUUCUUACUCCCCUGAAGUUGCUGCUAGCUUUGGUGCUGGGUUGCUUGGUUCAUUGAUGUAUAUGCGCAUGCUGGGAAGCAGUGUGGAUUCCCUAGCAAAAGGAGCAAAGGGGCUUAUGAAGGGGGCAGUUAUGCAGCCGAGGAUACUAAUUCCUGUUGUAUUGGUCAUGAUCUAUGAUCGUUGGAAUGAGAUCCUUGUUCCAGAAUAUGGUUAUAUGCACUUAGAAUUGAUUCCAAUGUUGGUGGGAUUUUUCACAUACAAGAUUGCCACUUUCUUCCAAGCUGUAGAGGAUACAGUUGCUAUGUUUGGGGAAAAAACAGAGGUCUAAUACUAAAAAGCAUGGCAAGUAGAAGAGCAUCUUAAAACAAUAAAAUUGUUGCAUUUCUCACAGAAAUAGUUUCAGCUGCUGAUUGGAAGCGAGGGGAUAACAUGAAAGCAUUGGGCAGAAGACAAACGACACAAGAAAGCUCAUUUUUAGUUCAUUGCAGGAUAUUUAGUAGCUUGUUUAAUGGGAAAAUAUAUAACUUUUUGGCACAUCGAUUUCUCUUGUUGAAGAGUAAAAUGCUUCGUAGAUAAGAGUUCUGGAUGACAUCUAUACACGCACGGAUGGUAUUGGCAUCAAUAGAAAUCCGGUAAACACUGGAGCAACUGUCAACAUUCUACCAUGUACAAUCCUCAGGAAAUUAAGGCUGCACAGUGCGGAUGUCACCCCUAGCACUCUUGUAGCAUUUGGGCCAUUUCGACUGUAGGAGUUGUUACUUGGUUAAUUUAUAUAUCGGAAAUUAAGACCAAUUUUUAACAUCUUAAAUUUCGUUUUUACCAAAAUAACUUAGUUCGGAGAUUUAGAUACAAGAUUUGAACGAACCAAAGUUCAAAACCUUGCUUCGAAUAAGCAUAUCUUUAUUUAUUCACUUUAUCAAUUUAUAUUGUAUUAUAUUGUCAUCUUGAUACUUAAUUGUCAUAAUGUUUAAAUUUGAAAAUUUGUUUAUUAAAUGUAAA